rnacentral:rRNA from 1 species
AGUGAACGCUGGCGGCAGGCCUAACACAUGCAAGUCGAGCGGCAGCGCGGGGGCAACCCUGGCGGCGAGCGGCGGACGGGUGAGGAAUUCGUCGGAAUCUGCCUUUUUGUGGGGGAUAACGUCGGGAAACUUACGCUAAUACCGCAUACGUCCUACGGGAGAAAGUGGGGGACCGCAAGGCCUCACGCAGAAAGAUGAGCCGACGACCGAUUAGCUAGUUGGUGGGGUAAAGGCCCACCAAGGCGACGAUCGGUAGCUGGUCUGAGAGGAUGAUCAGCCACACGGGGACUGAGACACGGCCCAGACUCCUACGGGAGGCAGCAGUGGGGAAUAUUGGACAAUGGGCGCAAGCCUGAUCCAGCCAUGCCGCGUGUGUGAAGAAGGCCUUCGGGUUGUAAAGCACUUUUGUCCGGAAAGAAAUCCCUGGAGCUAAUACCUUCGGGGGAUGACGGUACCGGAAGAAUAAGCACCGGCUAACUUCGUG